AUUGGGCGGCUGGGUGCCGGCUAGACGGGUCUUUUUUUUUAUCGAUACAAGUUCAUGCUAGCCAUUCGGGCUUUGUAAUACAGUUCACGCCACUUCCGCCCCUCGUCGGUGUCUCGCGGGCCCACCUGGCAGUGACGCUACUGCAGCGGCUCCUAUCUCACGCUGCAACGAUGGAUCGUGUCCGUUGGAUGAAACCGCACCUGCGUUGGAUUCCCAGCAUACCUAGCCGAGGAGCAGAGGCCAACAAAAAACUUCGUUAAACCCCAGCAGAACUCGGGCGCGCGGCGGCGGGCGGCGGGCGUAGGCGGCGGGGCUCGGCGAGCAUGUUCGGCUGCGCCACUAGCGGUGAGAGUGCGGGGCGACGGCCGGCGGCUUGAGCGCGUGACUGAUUCAGCGGCCAAGCGGGGGACGCGCCGGCUCGGGCUGCGGUAAUUCCUCAAUCGCCCCUUUGCUUCGGCGCCCGAGAUUGAGAGCCCCCCACGGCCAGGCGCCGCAGGACCUCACCGGAGUGGGGCGCAUCAGCCAUUUCCCGCGGGGACAGAGCGACAAGGAGAGGUUGCCGGCUGCGAGCGGCGACAGCGGGCUGUCUCCCCUCAAAUCCUCGGCCUACACUGUUAAUCGAAGCUGUGCUAACUGGCUCAGGUUGAUUUUCCAAUAAAAGGAAAUUUUCAUGUAACUUGUCUUAUUAUUUCCUGGGUGGUCCUCACUGUUAACUUUUCAAGGAAGUUUGCUCCAUGAAGUACAAAAGUAGUGGACAUUCUUCCUUCUUCGGCUUAUGCUGUCAGUGUAAGGAGGGGAUUGGCGGCCCUCUUCUAUGCACCGAGCAGUGCUAAGUUUCAUGCGUCAAGCCCUUGUAAAAAGAAGCUACCCUCCGGCAUUGCGACUUUACUCUGUGGCUUGUUGCUUGAAGAGCUUAGAUCAUCAAGAACCUACUGGAAGCUUCUUUUACAGUGAGUAUAAAAACCAGUGUCUUCCUCCCUUGAUCACACUAGCAGUUCGUACAUCAAACUGGAACAAGGCCAGGAAGAUUACCUUCAGGGAGUGUGUGAAGUUAUAUGGGCUAUCCCGGUCAGUUGGGCUGUUUGCAUUGCUUAUGCAACCCUUCUUGCCGCGAAGAAUCAGAGAGAUCCGGUGCUUCAUGCGGAGCAUUGUUGAUUACUGUGGAAGUGCCGGCCCAGAGUUGUUUGAGUUGGCACCUAUUUUGGUCAGUAAUUUGGGUGGGUCAAUGACAUUACUACAAGUUCAUGCUACAGUUAUUCGGGUUUUUGUAGAGUUGUCAAUGUUUGAGGAUGCUCUUCUCACUUACAUUGAGGCCAAGAAGGUUGGAGUUGAGCUGCAGUUGUGCAACUUCCUGCUGAAGUGUUUAGUGGAGAGGAAUCAAAUCAUGUCUGCGAGGAGUUUGUUUGAUGAUAUGAAUACAUCUGGUCCGUCACCAAAUGUGUACUCUUAUUCAGUUUUGAUGAGUGCUUAUACACAUGGAGAUAGGUUAUGCUUGGAGGAAGCAUUUGAGCUUCUAUGUGAAAUGGAAAUGAAAGGCAUGAAACCGAAUGCGGUAACCUAUGGCACUUACCUCUAUGGGCUUUGCCGUACCAGACAUGUGUCAUCUGCAUGGAACUUUCUUCAAAUGCUUUGUCAGAGAGGCUACCCUCGCAACAGUUAUUGUUACAAUGCUGUGAUUCAUGGUUUCUGUCACGAGGAUCAGGUUCAGAAAGCCAUGGAGGUGUUUGAUGGGAUGAAGAAGGGUGGGUUUAUCCCAGAUGCCCAUAGCUAUAGUAUAUUAGUUGAUGGGUUAUGUAAGCAAGGGGAUCUAUUGGCAGGCUAUGACGUGCUUGUCGAAAUGGUAAGAAAUGGGAUUGCUCCUACUCUGGUCAGUUAUACUUCACUUCUGCAUGGUCUUUGCAGAGCUGGAAAGGUUGAAUUGGCAUUUGACCUGUUUAGGAGGCUCAAAGAACAAGGUGUCAAGCAUGACCACAUAGUUUACAGCAUUUUUCUUGAUGGUUGUUGCCAACAUUUGGAUCUAGAGGUUGUCUAUGACCUUUGGAAUAACAUGGUUCAUCAUAAUUUUAUUCCAGAUGCUUACAACUAUACUAGUCUGAUAUAUGCAUUCUGUAGACAUAGUUACCUCAAAGAAGCAUUGGGAGUAUUCGAACUCAUGUUUGAGAAGGGAAUAAGCCCGAACAUUGUGACAUGCACCAUUCUAGUUGACAGUUUCAGCAAAGAAGGGAUGAUCGAUGAAGCCCUCCUAUUCCUGGAUAAAGUACGCCAUCUUGGAAUUGUUCCUAACCUUUGUAUGUACAGAGUUAUCAUAAAUGGUCUGUGCAAGGUCAACAAAUGCGAUGAUGUGUGGGCCUUUUUUGCAGACAUGAUAAAAAGAGGCUGUGUUCCUGAUACUUUCAUUUAUAGUAUUAUUAUUAAUGGCUGUGUGAAAGCACUGAGACUUCAGGAGGCUUUCAGAUUGUUUCAUAAAAUGUUGGAUGAGGGUACAAAACCUAAUAUAUUCACAUAUACUAGCCUAAUAAAUGGUCUUUGCCAUAAUGACAGACUUUCUGAAGCUGUGACAUUGUUUAAGCAUAUGAUUUGGGAAGGAUUGACACCAGACAGGAUUUUGUAUACAUCUCUUAUUGAUUGCUAUUGUAAGCGUUCAAACAUGGAGGCAGCUUUGGAAAUUUUUAGAGAGAUGGAGAAAGGGGGCUUAUCAGCAGAUGCUUUUGUUUAUACUUGUUUAAUUGGGGGCUUCAGUAAAGUGCUUGCGAUGGAUGGCGCACAGUGGUUGAUGGAAGAAAUGAUAAAUAAGGGGCUUACACCUACUGUAGUAACUUAUACAGAUAUCAUAGUUGGAUACUUCAAAACUGGAGAUGAGAAGAAAGCUCAUAUGAUGUAUAACAGUAUGCUCCAGGCAGGCAUUACACCGGAUGACAAGCUGAGUAGUAUAUUGGGAUUUGGCAAUGAUGGAGAUAGUUUUCAGGACUCCCUGGAAGACAAGGAUAUAUCAUAAGUUUUCAUAUUGAGCUCUAUGGGUGAACGACCACUUUCAACAAUUCAUUGGUGGUGGAGAGGGAGAGCAGUUGAAAAACUUGGUAUACAGUGAGCAGCUCUCAGCGCUUGUAGCGAGCUUGUACAGGUGAUACUAGAAAUGCGAGGGCCAUGUGUAUCGAAGUGGCCUAAAGACAUAAGCACGCCUAUCCAUGUAUUCCUUAAGUUUUCUUAUUUGAUAGUCAAUUGACAAGCAUUUUCAUUGAGCUGAAAGCAGAGAGCAGCCGUGAUUGAUCAGAUCUGGCAUACAGCAUGUCAUUACAGACCCAGGAUCAGAUCUAGACUGGUGUCUGUGUGUCAUGUGAGCAGUGUUAGGCAGCAUCUAGGCAAUCUCAGAGAUGUAUAUCAUAACCCACAGUUCACCAGGGUUUCGUGUUACAUGGACUUCUGUGGAUGAACAUAUCAAAGACGAUCUUGAUCUUCAGAGUACUGCUCAAGAGGAAGAGGUGCAGGCUAUUAUACUUGUAGCAGAAAGCAUGGGAGAAGGCACUCGGUGUGCUCUGAAUAGAAUUGUGCAGUUGAGGCUGAGAAACUUGCAUAGGUCCGGAGAUCCUUUUGAUGACAGUCAAAUAAACCAAUUCCCAUAAAGUAUUAUGCUUUUCAUUUCAAGAUAUGGUACUGUAAGUACAGAGGUUCAGUGACAUUUCUUUUGUCAUUGUAACACUUUAUUUUGGUCUGUUAUUUC